UUAGACAGACAGCUCCAUUUCAGACAAAUGCCAGCAGGGACGAAGCCACGACACCCAGAAACAUUGUCGACGCGACAGUGGACUGGCAUUUCAGGAGAGCUUGGCUCUCUCAGUCCCUGGAUUGUCCUACUUUCCAUUCCCUGGACAGGUUGCUGCUAUCUAUCUCCAGACAAAGCACUUCCACUGGUCAUGGAAAAAAGGUCUAAAUCCGUGUCUUCUCUGCUUACAAGUCUUGCCUGGGAGCAAUGGGAGAGAAUGUAUACAAUCAUGAAACAAAAUAUGGCAUUUUCUGAAUGCUGCUCACAUUACCCCAAAUAAACAAACAGGCUCUGUCAAACAACCUUCUUCAAAAUGAUACCACAAUCCUUUACUGCUGCCCAGGCAGAACAAA